rnacentral:rRNA from 1 species
UGAGGAAUAUUGGUCAAUGGGCGGAAGCCUGAACCAGCCAUCCCGCGUGAAGGAAGAAGGCCUUAUGGGUUGUAAACUUCUUUUCUGUUUGAAGAAUAAGCUUGUCGAGACAAGUGAUGCCGGUAGGACAGGUAUAAGCAUCGGCUAACUCCGUGCCAGCAGCCGCGGUAAUACGGAGGAUGCAAGCGUUAUCCGGAUUUAUCGGGUUUGAAGGGUGCGCAGGUGGUUUAAUAAGUCAGUGGUGAAAGUCUGCCGCUUAACGGUAGGAUUGCCAUUGAUACUAUUGGACUUGAAUAUGGAUGAGGUAGGCGGAAUGUGUAGUGUAGCGGUGAAAUGCUUAGAUAUUACACAGAACACCGAUUGCGAAGGCAGCUUACUACUCCAUGAUUGACGCUGAGGCACGAAAGCGUGGGGA